GACGAACGCUGGCGGCGUGCCUAAUACAUGCAAGUCGAACGCACAGUUUAUACCGUAGCUUGCUACACCAUAAACUGUGAGUUGCGAACGGGUGAGUAACGCGUAGGUAACCUGCCUGGUAGCGGGGGAUAACUAUUGGAAACGAUAGCUAAUACCGCAUAAUAUUGAUUAUUGCAUGAUAAUUGAUUGAAAGAUGCUAUUGCAUCACUACCAGAUGGACCUGCGUUGUAUUAGCUAGUAGGUGAGGUAACGGCUCACCUAGGCGACGAUACAUAGCCGACCUGAGAGGGUGAUCGGCCACACUGGGACUGAGACACGGCCCAGACUCCUACGGGAGGCAGCAGUAGGGAAUCUUCGGCAAUGGACGAAAGUCUGACCGAGCAACGCCGCGUGAGUGAAGAAGGUUGUCGGAUCGUAAAGCUCUGUUGUAAGAGAAGAACGGGUGUGAGAGUGGAAAGUUCACACUGUGACGGUAGCUUACCAGAAAGGGACGGCUAACUACGUG
rnacentral:rRNA from 1 species